GCAGGGCGUGGUGGCGCGCGCCUGUAAUCCCAGCGGCUUGGGAGGCUGAGGCAGGAGGGUCUCCAGUUCAAAGCCAGCCUCAGCGACUUAGAAAAGACCUAAACAACUCUGUGAGACCCUGUCUCUA
rnacentral:sRNA from 1 species